AGUGGAUAAAUAGAAACGUCUGCCACAGCGAAGAUGAAAGGAGACCCGCAGCUAAUGGCUCGGCAGUGAUGCGCCAGGUGUGGGCCUGGCUCGAAUGGGGAGGAGAGUGUGAAAACAGAGAGAUACACACACUGAGAGAGGGAGACACCCAAGCAGAGGGGAUGCAAAUGGAAUUCUGCAGAAAGAAAAAGAAAGCUUAAGGCGCGCCGCGAGUUCCGCAGGAGCUGCGGGACUCGGUGGCCUUAAGCUUUCCGCAGCUCGGCUUGACCUCCAGGUAUUCGUUCAGAGUCAACGAAUUCCUCUGGAAACAGGUUUUGCGAGUGAGGAGACACUAAGAAGUGCGGCCCCUACAGCGGCAGCAACGGAGGCUCCCAGCUGGGAGAAGAUGAAAGCCGAGUAGGAUUGAAAGAUCAAGAGGUACCCCUUGCGUCUCCUUCCUGGGUCCGGCCCACCCAAGCGGGGCUUCCCCCGCCGUCCCGGGGAGGAAGGAGGCUCCAGCCAGGGCUCAGCCUCUCCCGGAUGGGGGAUCUGAAGCUUCUGGAACGCCCCCUCUGCCCCAUCCCUCUCUGGACCUCUGCCUCCACCCUUUCAAAGGAUCAAUUCCCCACCUCACCCCACCCCCUCCGUCCCCGGUCUCGAGGGGCCUAUUGCGCCGUCGGGCGCGGGGGAGGCGGGGGCGGAGGGGGAAGCAAAAAAAAAAAAAAAUGUUAACCAAAUGUCACUUCUUCCAAAAGCAUCCUUUCAUCAACAUCAGAUGAAGAGAGGUUGGAAUUUUCACUAGAGGAAGAAAACACGAGGGGACUGAAUAAGAACACUAUUUCUGUUUAGUCUUUUUUUUUUUUUUUUUUAGGGUGGGGAAGGGUUAUUUUAAUAGUGUGGUUACUACUGUAUCAGGAAGGUUAUUCCCGACGACACUGCCCAAGAAGCAAAGUAAAUUCGCAGAGGGAGUCAAGUCCGCGGCCGCAGAGGCCUGGGAAACCCCAUAAACGCAGAGAGGGGGUGAUAGCAACCUAAGUGGGGUCCGUUUUCGGCCCCUACUGCUCCCUCUCUCCCUUCGGCAGGGACGACCCCCUCCCCCCACCCCCGUUGGCCUGCUGU